rnacentral:rRNA from 1 species
CGCAUCUGUGCAUGCAGCAUAUCAAUAAGCGGAGGAAAAGAAACUAACAAGGAUUCCCUUAGUAACGGCGAGUGAAGCGGGAAGAGCUCAAAUUUGAAAUCUUCAAGGUUUUACCUUGACGAAUUGUAGUUUAAAGAAGUGUUUUCUGUUGAGGUUUUGGUAAAAGUUCUUUGGAAUAGGACAUCAUAGAGGGUGAGAAUCCCGUAUUUGACCAUUAUUUUCAGCUGUGUGAUACACUUUCAAAGAGUCGGAUUGUUUGGGAAUGCAGUCCAAAAUGGGUGGUAAAUUUCAUCUAAAGCUAAAUAUUGGCGAGAGACCGAUAGCGAACAAGUACCGUGAGGGAAAGAUGAAAAGAACUUUGAAAAGAGAGUUAAACAGUACGUGAAAUUGUCAAAAGGGAAGCGUUUGACACCAGUGUUGUUUUCUCGAAAAUCAAUUAAAAAGAGUUAGAUUUUGUUGUGUAUUGACCUUAACAGCUUGCAUUUCAAUUUUCUUGCUUUUUUUAAUGCACUUUUCGUUUAACAAGUCAACAUCAGUUUCUUUUGUUGUAAAAAGGUCAUUGGAAGGUGGCUUUCUUUUCGGAGAAAGUGUUUAUAGCCUUUGACUCCUGCAAUCGGAGAGACUGAGGUCUGCAGCGUAGAUCCUUCGGGGUUAGAUACAUUCGUGCUAAGUUAUAGCUUUUUAUAGACAACUUGUUGACUAUGAUUAGUCUUGUAGCUUACUCGCUUAUGCUAUUUUACCUACGCUUAGGAUGUUGAUCUGUAGUGCGUGCGC